rnacentral:misc_RNA from 1 species
GAUGAAGAACGCAGCGAAAUGCGGUAAGUAAUGUGAAUUGCAGAAUUCAGUGAAUCAUCGAAUCUUUGAACGCACAUUGCGCCCCUUGGUAUUCCGAGGGGCAUGCCUGUUCGAGCGUCAUUAUAACCCCUCAAGCUCAGCUUGGUGUUGGGGCCUGCUGCACUGGCAGCCCUUAAAAUCAGUGGCGGCGCCAUCUGGCUCUAAGCGUAGUAAUUCUUCUCGCUAUGGAGUCCUGGUGGAUGCUUGCCAUCAACCCCCAAUUUUUCUAUGGUUGACCUCGGAUCAGGUAGGGAUACCCGCUGAACUUAAGCAUAUCAAUAAGCGGAGGA